rfam:Laccaria amethystina LaAM-08-1 unplaced genomic scaffold K443scaffold_509, whole genome shotgun sequence.
GGCCGUGUGGCGAAAUGGCAUCGCGUCUGACUACGAUUACUAAUCGAAAUCAGGAGAUUGCAGGUUCGACCCCUGUCUCGGUCA